UUGUGUUGCCUUUAUGUUCUGCUCUUUGUUUACAAUUCCAGCCUGUGAAAGUUUACAUUAUUGGAAUGGGGAAUUUGGUGUCUAG